rnacentral:lncRNA from 1 species
AUAGACUAGCUUUAUAUUUUAAGCUUCACUAGUCUAUAAAACAUAGGAAAAACUUCAAAUACCGCCCUUGUGGUUUCACAAUUUUUUAUUUUAGUACUCUAUAGUUUAAAGUGUAUUAAUUUAGUAUCCCGUGAUUUUUUUUUUCUCUUUUUAUUAUCUCCUUUACUAAUUUUUUUCGUUAAUCAAUGACAAAGUUAAAACUAAAAGAUACUAAAGUAAAUAUUCGAUAAACCUAAGUGGGGCAUCUGAAGUGUUUUGUAUAUAAUUUUAACGGAGGAGCUGAUGAAAAAAAAAAAAUAAAACCAUAUGUGACUAAAUUGAUACACUUUAAACCAUAUAAUACUAAAAUGAGAAAGUGUGAAGCCACACGGAUGACAUUUGAAGUUUACUCUAAAAUAUAUAAUUUGAGGGUUGGGUCACAUCAACAAAACCAACCUCCAUGAAGCCAUGUCUCCUAUUAAAGCAUUGGACAAUAGGGGAUUACCACAUAUCUAAUAAAUAUUUUCGAUAUGCCCAUUGCACCGUAAACCGUCUCUACAAUAUGCAUCAAAAAUAAAAUUUCGAUACUAUAAAUUAUUUAAACAUUA